GCCGCCUCCCGCGAUUGCGAGGAGAGGUUGGAGGCCGGCUCGGCGCUGAAGUCCUGCAGGAUCCGCAGCGUGUGUUUGCUGGGCCAGCGCGGGGCGGCGCGGGGCGGCGCGCGAUCAAGUCAAUAAAGUUAUCUCCAUAGGCGCCGCGACAGAAACAGGCUAAAAGCGAUAGGUCCUCAUUUCUCAGUAUCAUCAAGAACUUGGGAGGGGGGAGGGGGAAAUCGGGGGAAAAAAAAAAUAAUCGGAAAAAGGAGCCUUUAAAAUCAAUAGGAAAACAAAGCCAGCGGCACUGCGAUAUCUACAGCCAUCUGUUCGCGGUUCCUCUCGCUUUUUAUUACGGGGCUCACGACAAAUAGGGAGAGCCGCUUCUGGAGGGGAAACCGGCGGCUGGUGCUGGCUGCGAUUAAAUCAUAAUCGUUCAAAAAAUGCCGGGGAGGAGGGGAGGGAGAAGAAUAUUAAGAAAACCUGUACGGAAAGGCGACAGAAGGAAAAAAAUCAUCCAUAACGUUUGGCAGUGCAGGAAACGCUGACUCCUUCCUUUGAAUGCGCCCAGUGAUGCAGCAGAAGCGCUCUCCGCUCUCUCCCUCUCUUCUGUGAGACUGCUUAAAAACAUUGGCUGCAAAAUCAUUUUCUCCGAGCGGUUCCAGCUCCUUCAUCCAUCGCGUUGUCCGCCGCUCGGGAGAGACGAGCGCUCAGCUGAGAUCCAGCCGGGGCGGCUGCUGUAUCCGAGCUGGGCUUUGCCUUUGGCGUGGGUUGGGUUUUUUUGGCUGCAAAACUGUCGGAUGGCACAACUGCAACAUAAAGGUUAAAUAUGGCACAGGGAAAAAAAAAAAAAAAAAGAAGGGGAGGGGGGGAGGGGGAGGAUUAGAGGAAAGAAACUAAUAGAAUUCGGUAGCGGUUCUUUAUAGCAAAGAGGUCCCGUCUUUGAUCUCUGCUGGGUCCUACGGAUCUGCCUUUAGAGAAAGGAAGAGAGGAAGGGAGGGGGAGAGAGAGGGGGAGAGGGGGAGCUGCUUGGCAGGUGCAGAGUGAAAACCUCUUUCAGCCACACUGGGUUCUGGAGACGGCUUGGCCGGG
rnacentral:lncRNA from 1 species